ensembl:misc_RNA 7SK 7SK RNA
GGAUGUGAGGGCGAUCUGGCUGCAACAUCUGUCACCCCACUGAUUGCCAGGGUUGAUUCGGCUGAGCUGGCUAGCUAGGCAAGUGCCCCCUUCCUCCCUCGCUGCUCCAUGUGUGUCCCUCCCAAAGCUGUGUGCUUGGUAGAAGAGGACAAGAGGACGACUUUCCCCAAUAGAGGAGGACUUUCUUUGGUCAAGGGUAAACAAGCAGCUGCACUCCCCUGCUGGAACUUCCAAACAAAUGCUCAAGGUCCAUUUGUAGGAGAACGUAGGGUAGUCAAGCUUCCAAGACUCCCGACACAUCCAAAUGAGGUGCUGCAUGUGGCAGUCUACCUUUCUUU